rnacentral:rRNA from 1 species
UACGGAGGGAGCUAGCGUUAUUCGGAAUUACUGGGCGUAAAGCGCACGUAGGCGGCUUUGUAAGUAAGAGGUGAAAGCCCAGAGCUCAACUCUGGAAUUGCCUUUUAGACUGCAUCGCUUGAAUCAUGGAGAGGUCAGUGGAAUUCCGAGUGUAGAGGUGAAAUUCGUAGAUAUUCGGAAGAACACCAGUGGCGAAGGCGGCUGACUGGACACGUAUUGACGCUGAGGUGCGAAAGCGUGGGGAGCAAACAGG